AAAGGACUAAAUGUUAAAAGCAUAAAAUCUGAAACUUGCUCUAGUAACUUGCCUAUAAAGACAUUGUUACUUAGAGCUGAAGGAAAAAACACUAGAAAGCAGUGAAAAUAUACUGAAAAAUCCAGGUGGCAAAAAAAAACUUUAAAAAAUAUUGUUCCAUUGCCCCCUUGCUUGGAUUCUCAAAGUUUCUUUACAUCUGAAGCAAUCUGUGUUCAUUUAAGGUUUAAAAUGGAUUAAAUAUUAGCUCUAAGGUUUGAUUAAGAAGUGUUGGGUUUGCAUUUGGUUGAAAUCACCCUAGGUAUACUGAUUUGGGUUUUAUUUUUUCCAAAACCGUUUUGCUUUGGUCCUGGUUCAAAUGUGUUUGCCUCCUUUUUGGUUUUGAUAUCCGAGUUGUUUGGGUUGUGUUGCUACUGGUUUAAAGCUGUUGCUGACUGUUGUUUACUGCUGCUGACUAUUCCCUCUUCUUACUUUCAUUAAUUUCCAGGUGCUUUUUAGCCUCAAAUGAUUUGUGAAGAACUGAAUCAGCAAAUGUAUGACUGAUUUGUUGAAGAAAUGAUACACUGUUUUUUCCUUCUUUUUUUGUGUUAAUUCAUUUAUAAGUAUAUUUAACUGCUCAAUUUACGCUUCAUUGUAAUGUGAGAAUCCAAUGAUCUAGACAUUUAACAUUUGUAA
rnacentral:lncRNA from 1 species